rnacentral:rRNA from 2 species
UCGACAUCUUGAACGC